CCUACGGGUGGCUGCAGUGAGGAAUAUUGGUCAAUGGGCGGGAGCCUGAACCAGCCAAGUCGCGUGAGGGAUGACGGCCCUGUGUGUUGUAAACCUCUUUUGUCGGGGAGCAAAGUGCGGCACGUGUGCGCUUUUGCGUGUACCCGGAGAAAAAGCAUCGGCUAACUCCGUGCCAGCAGCCGCGGUAAUACGGAGGAUGCGAGCGUUAUCCGGAUUUAUUGGGUUUAAAGGGUGCGCAGGCGGCCGCUUAAGUCAGCGGUAAAAUUGCGGGGCUCAACCUCGGCGGGCCGUUGAAACUGGGUGCCUUGAGUGGGCGAGAGGUAGGCGGAAUGCGUGGUGUAGCGGUGAAAUGCAUAGAUAUCACGCAGAACUCCGAUUGCGAAGGCAGCGUACCGGAGCGCAACUGACGCUGAGGCACGAAGGCGUGGGUAUCGAACAGGAUUAGAUACCCUUGUAGUC
rnacentral:rRNA from 1 species